UGGGGAAUAUUGCACAAUGGAGGGAACUCUGAUGCAGCGACGCCGCGUGAACGAAGAAGGCUUUCGAGUCGUAAAGUUCUUUUAUAUGGGAAGAUAAUGACGGUACCAUAAGAAAAAGCCCCGGCUAACUACGUGCCAGCUGCCGCGGUAAUACGUAGGGGGCUAGCGUUGUCCGGAAUCACUGGGCGUAAAGGGUUCGCAGGCGGAAAUGCAAGUCAGGUGUAAAAGGCAGUAGCUUAACUACUGUAAGCAUUUGAAACUGCAUAUCUUGAGAAGAGUAGAGGUAAGUGGAAUUUUUAGUGUAGCGGUGAAAUGCGUAGAUAUUAAAAAGAAUACCGGUGGCGAAGGCGACUUACUGGGCUCAUUCUGACGCUGAGGAACGAAAGCGUGGGUAGCAAACAGG
rnacentral:rRNA from 1 species